UUAACGCAUUUUAGAGUAAUGCUACAUUUUAACUGAACUCAAUUUUAAACACUAGUUGCUGUAUUAGUUAGUAUCAGUGUCGUUUUAUUAAAUUUGAGCGCCCUGGUCCAGAGUAAUUUGACGCCCCAUCAGAAUCAUAAAUUGGAAUUUGAGUGCCCUUGGCUAGAGUAAUUUGACGCUCCAUCGGAACUGUGAUUAGAAUUUUCAUCGCCUACGAAUCAGUGAAAAUGCCCACCUCAUAAAAUAAUGGAGGAGUAAAAGAAUUUCAAAUCGGAGUCAGAUGGCUUGACUAUUUAUUGACAUGCUUAUUCGAUUUUAUGAUAAAGUAUUAACUCCAAAAACGAAACAAGCUAGAAGCGGGGAUUUCAAGAAAUGUAGAAGAGAGGGACUUUGAAGAUUGGUCAAAAGUAGGUGAAUCACUCCGGUGCAAAUACCUAAAUGGAAAAGGACGUUGAUGAUCUUAUUGAUUUUUAAGCAGAAGCAAUUUCAAAAAAAAUCCUUAGCGGAAAAUAUUACCUGAAAGUGGUGAGGAAUUUUUUGAUUUUGAAGACAGUGCGUG